UGGGGGAUAUUGCACAAUGGGCGAAAGCCUGAUGCAGCGACGCCGCGUGGGGGAUGAAGGCUUUCGGGUUGUAAACCUCUUUCGCUAUCGAACAAGGCCCGCUUAGGGUGGGUUGAGGGUAGGUGGAGAAGAAGCGCCGGCUAACUACGUGCCAGCAGCCGCGGUAAUACGUAGGGCGCGAGCGUUGUCCGGAAUUAUUGGGCGUAAAGGGCUUGUAGGCGGCUUGUUGCGCCUGCUGUGAAAACGCGGGGCGUAACUUGGGGCGUGCAGUGGGUACGGGCAGGCUUGAGUGUGGUAGGGGUGACUGGAAUUCCAGGUGUAGCGGUGGAAUGCGCAGAUAUCUGGAGGAACACCGAUGGCGAAGGCAGGUCACUGGGCCAUUACUGACGCUGAGGAGCGAAAGCAUGGGUAGCGAACAGG
rnacentral:rRNA from 1 species